UUAGAAAUAGGGUAAACACAAAUGUCAC
rnacentral:piRNA from 1 species